rnacentral:rRNA from 1 species
UACGAAGGGGGCUAGCGUUGCUCGGAAUUACUGGGCGUAAAGCGCACGUAGGCGGCUUUCUAAGUCGGGGGUGAAAGCCCGGGGCUCAACCUCGGAAUUGCCUUCGAUACUGGGUAUCUUGAGUUCGGGAGAGGUGAGUGGAAUGCCGAGUGUAGAGGUGAAAUUCGUAGAUAUUCGGCGGAACACCAGUGGCGAAGGCGACUCACUGGCCCGAUACUGACGCUGAUGCGCGAAAGCGUGGGGAGCAAACAGG